rnacentral:miRNA from 1 species
CUGAGCUAUUUCGCCAGCCCACAAAGUUAUUUUUGGGGCUGGGGAGAUGGCUCAG